UCUGAUGCAUCCUCAGGAGGGGGAGAUGGAGUCUCUCUCUCUCUCGGAAGGAGGGAUGAAGGCUGUUCUCCCUACCAGAUUGGCUGAGGUCUGGCCUCUUUCGGUGCCAGCGCUAUCACAGCUAAGCCACAGGGCAUGUUCUCCAGAUUGCCUGGCAGGGGCCACCAGAAUCCUGGUAUUUGAAGAGUUAAUAAUGCUGUGAAGUCUAACAAGGUUUCCAGGGCCUUUAGAAGAGGAUCGGGUCUGCGGCGUCUCAGAUCCGGCGCUGGAGCUGGCGGAGUAUGAGGAGGCUGUUUGAUCAGGAGCAACAGGCUGCCUCCCUUGUUCCAUACCUCUCUCCCUCUCCCUCACCCCACCCCACCCCUUUCCCUUCUCCCUCAUCUCUCGCUCUGAACUCCUUCCCCACCCCGCUCCGUCCCUCCCUCCUUCUUUCCUUUACCGAGCGCUGACAUCAGAAGUGGGAUGAGUCGGUUUGCCAAAAGCUUUGAAGAGAAUUCCAUGGCAACCGCAUAUCCUGUUCUUCCUGUUCACCUUUAAAUGGGAAUAAUCACCAUUUUUCUUACUAAUAAAUUCAUGUGAAGGUU